rnacentral:rRNA from 1 species
GACGAACGCUGGCGGCGUGCUUAACACAUGCAAGUCGAACGGAAAGGCCCUGCUUUUGUGGGGUGCUCGAGUGGCGAACGGGUGAGUAACACGUGAGUAACCUGCCCUUGACUUUGGGGUAACUUCAGGGAACUGGGGCUAAUACCGGAUAGGAGCUCCUGCUGCGUGGGGGGGGUUGGAAAGUUUCGGCGGUGGGGGAUGGACUCGCGGCUUAUCAGCUUGUUGGUGGGGUAGGGGCUUACCAAGGCUUUGACGGGUAGCCGGCCUGAGAGGGUGACCGGCCACAUGGGUCCUGAGAGACGCACCAGACGCCUACGGGAGGCAGCAGUGGGGAACAUGGCACAGUGGCCGGAAGCCUGAUGCAGCAGCGUCCCGUGCGGGAUGACGGCUUUCGGGUUGUAAACCGCUUUCGCCUGUGACGAAGCGGGAGUGACGGUAAUGGGUCAAGAAGCACCGGCUAACUACGUG